rfam:Cricetulus griseus cell line CHO-K1, whole genome shotgun sequence.
AUGGCUCAGUGGUUAAGAGCACUGACUGUUCUUCCAGAGGACCUGGGUUCAAUUCCCAGU